rnacentral:tRNA from 1 species
CGGGGCGGUGGGCGCGGGCGCCGGCCACGUGCCUUUCGAGCGCGUGGCCGGCGCCCGCCGCGGUCACCGCGUCCGGGUCGCGGUAGUCCCGG